UACGUAGGUGGCAAGCGUUGUCCGGAAUUAUUGGGCGUAAAGCGCGCGCAGGCGGUCCUUUAAGUCUGAUGUGAAAGCCCACGGCUCAACCGUGGAGGGUCAUUGGAAACUGGGGGACUUGAGUGCAGGAGAGAAGAGUGGAAUUCCACGUGUAGCGGUGAAAUGCGUAGAGAUCCGGAGGAACACCAGAGGCGAAAGCGGCGUCCUGGGGUGUGGUUGACGCUCAGACACGAAAGCAUGGGGAGCGAACGGG
rnacentral:rRNA from 1 species